CACGACCUCUGCUGCGUUUCACCUGGAAGUGCAGCUCUCUCAAAGACGCCGAAUGCCACCGAAAAGGUUCAGAGAUGAGAAUGAUGCUUGCAACAGGAUUAAGCGCUCUUUCAGCAUUAUACUUGAAAGAAUUUUCUGGUCUUAGGAUUACCAGAAAUGCAUGAAUUGAGGAAGGCAUCCUGUUUGGAAUAGGGAAUGAAGCCAUUGGUCCGCUAGCAUAUAAAAUAUCUGUAUCAAAUAGACAAUCCCAAUAUGGAUUCAGCUAUUCUGAAAUUCUUUGGGUUUCAAUUGGAGUUUUGCAACUUCUUUGUUCGUCUGUCUGAUUCUUUUGUAUCUGUAUCUAUUUGUAUACUUGGAAGCCGGAAUUCCUGUAUACUUAUUUACCAAAGCUAACAUAUCCUGCCAUUCGUUUCUCUUCACCA